UACGUAGGGGGCUAGCGUUGUCCGGAAUCAUUGGGCGUAAAGCGCGUGUAGGCGGUCCGGUAAGUCCGCUGUGAAAGUCGGGGGCUCAACCCUCGAAUGCCGGUGGAUACUGUCGGGCUAGAGUGCGGAAGAGGCGAGUGGAAUUCCUGGUGUAGCGGUGAAAUGCGCAGACUAUCAGGAGGAACACCAAUUGCGAAGGCAGCUCGCUGGGACGUAACUGACGCUGAGACGCGAAAGCGUGGGGAGCGAACAGG
rnacentral:rRNA from 1 species